AUCACCGCCCCUUUCUCUUUUCCUCUUUUCCCCUGCCAUGACAUUUUAUUUCUCCGAGCCGGAAAUUCUAAUAAACCACUAUUUCGUAUCAUGUUAUUAAAAGGGAUAAAUGAGUCCGCACUCCUUAAAGAUCCUCCAUCUUUUUCAUGAUUUCCAGUAAUCUCAUUUAGAUCGCCAAUAAUGAACCAUGGUUCGGACCGCACCAGACCAUAUCUAGUUAAACGCUCCCACACUUGUUCCCUCAUGUCUUGAACUGGAUCCCCAUAUACAAAAGUAAGAUAAACCUUUUUGCUUAGAGCCUUCGCUUCCACAUCAAUCAUUCGGUUACUAGAAUAUAAUACUUUAACUUGAUACUCAUUAUUGUAAAAAAGCGCUAAUCCCCCACUUCUUCCCACUGGGUCCAGUGUGACCAAAUUAUCAU
rnacentral:lncRNA from 1 species